UGGAAACCCUUUCAUAGUGCUU
rnacentral:siRNA from 1 species